CAGACAGACAGUUGAAUGGAUGGAUGGAUGGAUGGAUGGAUGGAUGGAUGAUGGACAGAGAGUUGAAUGGAUGGAUGGAUGGACAGACAGACAGGUGAAUAGAUGGAUGGAUGGAUGGAUGGAUGGAUAGAUGGAUGGACAGACAGGUGAAUAGAUGGAUGGAUGGACGGAUGGAUAGAUGGAUGGACAGACAGGUGAGUAGAUGGAUGGAUGGAUGGAUGGACAGACAGGUGAAUAGAUGGAUGGAUGGAUAGAUAGAUGGAUGGACAGACAGGUGAAUAGAUAGAUGGAUGGAUGGACGGACAGGUGAAUAGAUAGAUGUAUGGAUUUAUAGAUGGAUGGACAGACAG
ensembl:lncRNA